rnacentral:tRNA from 1 species
AUUGUUGGGAUAGCUCAGUUGGUAGAGCAG